rnacentral:tRNA from 1 species
GUUGGCGGUUGCAGGGCUUGCAGCAGGCUUCGCGGCAGCCCGUCAUCGCGGAGUGCACUGUUGCGGGCCACGUUCCAUUCGCCGCGCAGAUGC